rnacentral:rRNA from 1 species
GACGAACGCUGGCGGCGUGCUUAACACAUGCAAGUCGAACGGAAAGGCCCUGCUUUUGUGGGGUGCUCGAGUGGCGAACGGGUGAGUAACACGUGAGUAACCUGCCCUUUACUUUGGGAUAACUUCAGGAAACUGGGGCUAAUACCGGAUAGGAGCUCCUGCUGCAUGGUGGGGGUUGGAAAGUUUCGGCGGUUGGGGAUGGACUCGCGGCUUAUCAGCUUGUUGGUGGGGUAGUGGCUUACCAAGGCUUUGACGGGUAGCCGGCCUGAGAGGGUGACCGGCAACAUUGGGACUGAGAUACGGCCCAGACUACUACGGGAGGAAGCAGUGGGGAAUAUUGCACAAUGGGCGGAAGCCUGAUGCAGCAACGCCGCGUGCGGGAUGACGGCCUUCGGGUUGUAAACCGCUUUCGCCUGUGACGAAGCGUGAGUGACGGUAAUGGGUAAAGAAGCACCGGCUAACUACGUG